UUGGGGCUCGAGAGGGAGGGACGUGGGAACCCGAGGGUUUGAGAGAAGCGGUGGCCAUCAGGGUUUUUGGAAGCAAAUCCGAAUCUUUGCUGGAAGGAGGUGAGCUUGGAUUGGUUUUCUCUUCUUUUCAUAUCAAUUCCUUGUUGAAUUUUUCGGUGGGAUAGCUUGUUUGACCGAAAUUUUUCCUUCUUUUGAGCAUAAAUUUCUGAAGUUGUAUGAUUGUUUGAGUUAAUUAAUUGUUAUUGGUUGAUUCAUAGAUCCAGAGUGAUCAAAAUCUUUGCUUCAAAACCGAUUUUUUCUUGAAGAAUCCUAAGGCUUCAAUCAGUAGUAGUGGUUCGAUAAUUCUGAACUUCAAGGUCUUGGAUUUUCUUUAGCGAGUGCACGUGAUUUCGUUUAACACGGUGUGGGUUUCGAUGAAACCAUUCGAAGCUUGUUAAAGAUGUGAUUUUUAUUAAAUAUGCUGGAGACUCGGGUUGGCUGCUGAUUUGAGACCCUUUUUUCCGUGGUUCUGGCUUUUGAUUGCAACUUUGGUUCGAGUUUUUUGUCAAGAAAUGCAAUUUAACUAGUUUGGUCUUUUCUGCUAUCGGCCGUUUUAGGUUGUCUUCGAACAAGCCAAGCAUCCUCUGACCCUUAAGUAUUUAAUGGUGUUAUGCGUCAAAUUUAUUAUCAAACCUGGGAGUGGAAGGAGUUGAGCUAAAUUCAAGAAUGUUUGGAAAUGCAAGUGAACUAUAAGUAGAGUAAACGAGAAUGAAAUUUGUCGCUAUAGUUGCCAUUGACAAGAGAAUAUAGAGGAGGUGUUUGAUAUCAAAAUGGGGGGAAAAACAAGAAAAAAUGAAGAGCUUUCUUUUUU
rnacentral:lncRNA from 1 species